rnacentral:rRNA from 2 species
ACUACGCAGCAUGACUCGGAUCCUGACGGCGUGCUUUAGACAUGCAAGUCGAACGAGAAAACCCUUUGGGGUUAGUAAAGUGGCGAACGGGUGAGUAACACGUGGGCAAUCUGCCCUUCGUUGGGGGACAACCGGGGGAAACCCCGGCUAAUACCCCGUAAGCUUGCUAGGUCACCUGACCUUGCAAGGAGAGGUAGCUUCGGCCAUCCGGCGAAGGAGGAGCCCGCGGUACAUUAGCUUGUUGGUGAGGUAACGGCUCACCAAGGCGACGAUGUAUAGCUGGUCUGAAAGGAUGAUCAGCCACACUGGGACUGAGACACGGCCCAGACUCCUACGGGAGGCAGCAGUCGGGAAUCUUGCACAAUGGGCGAAAGCCUGAUGCAGCAACGCCGUGUGAGCGAUGAAGGCCCUAGGGUCGUAAAGCUCUGUUGUUAGGGACGAAGGGCGAAGGGUUAAUAGCCCUUAGCCUGACGGUACCUAUCGAGGAAGCCCCGGCUAAUUGGGCGUAAAGCGCGCGCAGGUGACGUAGGGGCGAGCGUUGUCCGGAAUUAUUGGGCGUAAAGGGCGCGUAGGCGGCUUGGUAAGUCUGCUGUGAAACCUUGGGGCUCAACCCCAAGCGUGCAGUGGAUACUGUCAAGCUAGAGGAUGGUAGAGGCCAGUGGAAUUCCCGGUGUAGCGGUGAAAUGCGCAGAUAUCGGGAGGAACACCAGUAGCGAAGGCGGCUGGCUGGGCCAUUCCUGACGCUGAGGCGCGAAAGCAUGGGGUUUCCGCCCUUUAGUGCUGAAGGGGAGCGAACAGGAUUAGAUACCCUGGUAGUCCAU